rnacentral:rRNA from 1 species
GACGAACGCUGGCGGCGUGCUUAACACAUGCAAGUCGAACGGAAAGGCCCUGCUUGCAGGGUACUCGAGUGGCGAACGGGUGAGUAACACGUGGGUGAUCUGCCCUGCACUUCGGGAUAAGCUUGGGAAACUGGGUCUAAUACCGGAUAGGACCGCACUUUAGUGUGUGUGGUGGAAAGUUUUUUCGGUGUAGGAUGAGCUCGCGGCCUAUCAGCUCGUUGGUGGGGUAAUGGCCUACCAAGGCGGCGACGGGUAGCCGGCCUGAGAGGGUGUACGGCCACAUUGGGACUGAGAUACGGCCCAGACUCCUACGGGAGGCAGCAGGGGGGAAGAUUGCACAAUGGGCGCAAGCCGGAUGCAGAGACGCCGCGUGGGGGAUGAAGGCCUUCGGGUUGUAAACGCCUUUCGCUAGGGACGAAGCUUUUUGUGACGGUACCUAGAUAAGAAGCACCGGCUAACUACGUG